GCCUGGCUGGCUCAGUUGGAAGAGUGUGUGACUCUUGAUCUCAGGGUUAUGAGUUAAAACCCGAUGUUGGGUG
rnacentral:tRNA from 1 species